UAACACCUGGAAACAGAUGCUAAUACCGGAUAACAACAGAUGAUGCCUAUCAACUGUUUAAAAGAUGGUUCUGCUAUCACUCUUGGAUGGACCUGCGGUGCAUUAGCUAGUUGGUAGGGUAACGGCCUACCAAGGCGAUGAUGCAUAGCCGAGUUGAGAGACUGAUCGGCCACAUUGGGACUGAUACACGGCCCAAACUCCUACGGGAGGCAGCAGCC
rnacentral:rRNA from 1 species